rnacentral:rRNA from 1 species
GACGAACGCUGGCGGCGUGCUUAACACAUGCAAGUCGAGCGGAAAGGCUCCUUCGGGGGUACUCGAGCGGCGAACGGGUGAGUAACACGUGAGUAAUCUGCCCUUGGCUUCGGGAUAGCCACCGGAAACGGUGAUUAAUACCGGAUACGACCACUUCUCGCAUGGGAUGGUGGUGGCAAGAUUUUCGGCCAGGGAUGUGCUCGCGGCCUAUCAGCUUGAUGGUGAGGUAAUGGCUCACCAUGGCUUCGACGGGUAGCCGGCCUGAGAGGGUGACCGGUCACACUGGGACUGAGACACGGCCCAGACUCCUACGGGAGGCAGCAGUGGGGAAUAUUGGACAAUGGGCGGAAGCCUGAUCCAGCAACGCCGCGUGAGGGAUGACGGCCUUCGGGUUGUAAACCUCUUUCAGCAGGGACGAAGCGCAAGUGACGGUACCUGCAGAAGAAGCACCGGCCAACUACGUGCCAGCCGCCGCCGUAACAC